rnacentral:tRNA from 1 species
UUCAGGAUGGCAGAACAAAUGUAAUAGAUUUAGGAUCUAUAGAUGAGGGCCUAUACCCUCUCUUGAAA